CCUACGGGUGGCAACAGUCGAGAAUCAUUCACAAUGGGGGAAACCCUGAUGGUGCGACGCCGCGUGGGGGAAUGAAGGUCUUCGGAUUGUAAACCCCUGUCAUGUGGGAGCAAAUUAAAAAGAUAGUACCACAAGAGGAAGAGAAGGAUAACUCGGUGCCAGCAGCCGCGGGAAUACAGAGGUCUCAAGCGUUGUUCGGAAUCACUGGGCGUAAAGCGUGCGUAGGCUGUUUCGUAAGUCGUGUGUGAAAGGCGCGGGCUCAACCCGCGGACGGCACAUGAUACUGCGAAACUAGAGUAAUGGAGGGGGAACCGGAAUUCUCGGUGUAGCAGUGAAAUGCGUAGAUAUCGAGAGGAACACUCGUGGCGAAGGCGGGUUCCUGGACAUUAACUGACGCUGAGGCACGAAGGCCAGGGGAGCGAAAGGGAUUAGAUACCCUAGUAGUC
rnacentral:rRNA from 1 species